CCCCCCCAUAAUUAUGCUAGUAUUUUCAUCAAUAAUUAAUAAUUAUGUAUGCAUACAUUUUUAUUUGCAUAUGGUAAAAUCUGAGAGCUAGGAAAAAAGAGAGAUGUAAAAUGCGAUGGUUUCAAAUUUGCAAAUCUUACUGAUUCAUUUUUCAUAAAAAAAAUUUAUUAUAUUAAAGCUUCCUUUAAUACCACACAUGUAAUUUUAUGUUCAGACUGAGCCAAGGACUUCUAUGAGUUUUACUGUUGUAAUUGCACUAUUUAUUUUGUUAUUAUACUGAAUGUCUUAAUUUUUAAGAAAAUUUUACUGCUUUUAUAUAUGAAUAACGUGAAUUCUACAGCGAACCGUAGGCACAUAAUUUUGGCGCAUGUAACAAUUUGUUAUGUUACCCGUUGCUAAGUGCGUUGCUAACGCUGAGGGUAAUAGAACGGAUUAUGAACUGCGUCUUAACCAAUCAGAUUUCAGUAUUUAACAUGAAAGUAUAACAAUAAUAGUUAUUUGACAAUUGCAAUACAACUUUAUUCUCAUAACAGUGUAUAUAAAGUAUUUAAUAAGUAAACUUUGUAGUUAUUAAAAAAUAUUGUAACGUGCAUGAAAAAAGGGGUAACAAUUGUAAACCAACAAAGGUUACUGUCUGAUUGUAGUAUUUAACAAAUUACACAAUUUAAUAAACUUACUUUGUAUUUGUU
rnacentral:sRNA from 1 species